rnacentral:miRNA from 1 species
GACGUCGAUAUUCGACGUCAUAAACACGAUCAACUUUGGUGUUUAUGACGUCGAUAUUCGACGUCAUAAAUACAACCAACUUUGGUGUUUAUGACGUCCAUUUUCGACGUAAUAAACACGAUAUACUUUGGGGUUUAUGACGUCGAUAUUCGACGUAAUAAACACGAUCAACUUUGGUGUUUAUGACGUCGAUAUUCGACGUAAUAAACACGAUCAACUUUGGUGUUGAUGAAGUCGAUAUUCGACGUC